CUGGACGAGUAAGUUCGCUGUCUAGGGAACCGAUUCCGGUUCUCUAGCCACUGCCUUAUGGUUUUGGGGAAGGUUGGCAGGUCCUUUCAGAAAUGAACACGAUUGAAAUCUUUGCGUCAACUGAAAUGAAUGCAAGUGAAAUCUUACAUAUGAGCCGCGCAUUUUAAAUUCUUUGCAAGCGCUUCGACUUGUCUUCAGAUUUUUUUUUCGUUCAUUACUUCCGUGGAUCAGCUUGUUAUUUAAAGUUACUUAUAAAUAUCUCUCCCGCGAAUCGGCCCGUUAUGUUAUUCUGGAAUUCUGGAAACGCUUUUCUUUGGAAAGGGAAAUCCAUGAUGAUUUUAAAUGACGCUAACAGUAAUAUCUGAGAUAUUCCAAUUGCGGUGUUUAGAACGCAUAUACGUAGAGACACUGUCAGUAAAAAAAAUGCAGACCUAUUAAUCCCUUAGCGGUGGAAAUUUUCGCUGAUCAAAACGACUUGCAGUUGGGGAAUUUUCUAGUGCAGUUGGGGAUAAAAGUAUAUUAUUUUGCUUUGGAAAUGGGGCCAAAUUUCGGCUCAAAAACUAGCGUAAAAAAGGGCUGUAAUCACAAGAAAGAAAACUCUUGCAAAUCCUUGUUGCAGGAUUUCCGAAAAAUGUGUCCGCAAAGAAAAUGAAAUGCUAGCAUUCGCUUUUCAAACCUAUCUUAUCAUGUUGCAUCUAGAGGGUAUUUAAAAUACUGUAUGAUUUUUAAGACUUAAAAAUGUGCAGUUAAGAAAUUAUACAAUGUUUUCCAAAGUGAAAGUACCAUCAGGGUUCUCGGAAACGCCGAAAUCGGCGUCCCUGUACGCAUAUUUGGUCCCGGUAUACGCGUGUUUAUUGCAGCUUGGGAGUCCCAGGAUGCACGUUUUUGCAGUGAGACGCAAUGAAAAUUAAUUGAUUACGUAAACCUGCGAAUACACAAGGUUUGACUCGAGAGCAAAACAUGUGGGCGGAGUUACUCGCUUGUCACCAAUAGCCGUUAUAGCCAGUCAGCAUUGCCCGUAUCCACUACAUCGCACACAGGCGGCAUAUGUAUGAUCAACUCGAAUACAUGUGAUUGUCAGCGUGAUUGCAUAGGGCAUUGUGAAGUAACAGUAAUGCAGAAUACCUACAUACCAUGAAGUUGAGAAAUGAAGAGAUGCAGCUGUAAAUUGUUUAAUACGGAAACAUCGUGGAUAUGAAGCAUAGAAAUCAUGUGACAAUUACAGAAAUGCAGAGUAGCUACAGACCAUGAAAUUUAGAAAAUGAAGAGAUGCAUGUCUUUGUUCAACAUGGUGUAUAUGGGAAACAUUGUGGGUCACAGACCUCUGUUCAACAUGGUGUAUAUGGGAAACAUUGUGGGUCAAGGACAUGAAAU
rnacentral:lncRNA from 1 species